GCCUUUAAUGGCAGCAGUAACCAGAAAUUAGCAGUAUUCUCCGAAAAGGGUCUCUCAGAAAUAGAGAAAAGAAGAAACAAUAAGAUUUUUUUUUGAGAAGAAGAGUCCCUGGUUAUUUGAUGUCGCUGAGAAUUAAAGCAGUUGUUGAUAAAUUCGUACAAGAAUUGAAAGAGGCAUUAGAUGCUGAUAUACAAGAUAGGAU
rnacentral:misc_RNA from 1 species